rnacentral:rRNA from 1 species
GGACCCGCACAAGCAGUGGAGCAUGUGGUUUAAUUCGACGCAACGCGAAGAACCUUACCAGCGUUUGACAUGAGAAGUGCCGGUUACAGAAUGGUAACCUUCAGUUCGGCUGGCUUCUACACAGGUGCUGCAUGGCUGUCGUCAGCUCGUGUCGUGAGAUGUUGGUUAAGUCCCGCAACGAGCGCAACCCUUAUCGUUAGUUACUAACAGUUCGGCUGAGGACUCUAGCGAAACUGCCGGUGAUAAAGCCGGAGGAAGGUGGGGAUGACGUCAAGUCCUCAUGGCCCUUACACGCUGGGCUACACACGUGCUACAAUGGUAACUACAACGGGACGCAAUACCGCGAGGUG